rnacentral:rRNA from 1 species
AAGGCGAGGCCGAAAGGCGUAGUCGAUGGGAAACAGGUUAAUAUUCCCGUACUUGGUGUUACUGCGAAGGGGGGACGGAGAAGGCUAUGUUGGCCGGGCGACGGUUGUCCCGGUUUAAGCGUGUAGGCUGGUUUUCCAGGCAAAUCCGGAAAAUCAAGGCUGAGGCGUGAUGACGAGGCACUACGGUGCUGAAGCAACAAAUGCCCUGCUUCCAGGAAAAGCCUCUAAGCAUCAGGUAACAUCAAAUCGUACCCCAAACCGACACAGGUGGUCAGGUAGAGAAUACCAAGGCGCUUGA